UUUCCGGUUGAUCCUGCCGGACCUGACUGCUAUCGGAUUGAUACUAAGCCAUGCGAGUCUUUGUAGUAAUACAAGGCAGACGGCUCAGUAACACGUAGUCAACCUACCCUAUGGACAAGAAUAAUCUCGGGAAACUGGGCAUAAUUCUUGAUAGAUCAUAAUGCCUGGAAUGGUUUAUGGUUAAAAUGAUUCGUCGCCAUAGGAUGGGACUGCGGCCUAUCAGCUUGUUGGUGAGGUAAUGGCCCACCAAGGCGAUUACAGGUACGGGCUCUGAGAGGAGAAGCCCGGAGAUGGGUACUGAGACACGGACCCAGGCCCUAUGGGGCGCAGCAGGCGAGAAAACUUUGCAAUGUGCGAAAGCACGACAAGGUUAAUCCGAGUGAUUUCUGCUAAAGAAAUCUUUUGCCAGUCAUAAAACCACUGGUGAAUAAGGGGUGGGCAAGUUCUGGUGUCAGCCGCCGCGGUAAAACCAGCACCUCAAGUGGUCAGGAUGAUUAUUGGGCCUAAAGCAUCCGUAGCCGGCUUUGUUAGUUUUCGGUUAAAUCCAUGUGCUCAACGCAUGGGCUGCCGAAAAUACUGCAUGGCUAGGGAGUGGGAGAGGUAGACGGUACUCAGUAGGAAGGGGUAAAAUCCUUUGAUCUAUUGAUGACCACCUGUGGCGAAGGCGGUCUACCAGAACACGUUCGACGGUGAGGGAUGAAAGCUGGGGGAGCAAACCGGAUUAGAUACCCGGGUAGUCCCAGCUGUGAACGAUGCAGACUCGAUGAUGCAUUGGCAUAAUAGCCAGUGCAGUGUCGCAGGGAAGCCGUUAAGUCUGCCGCCUGGGAAGUACGUACGCAAGUAUGAAACUUAAAGGAAUUGGCGGGGGAGCACCACAGGGGGUGAAGCCUGCGGUUCAAUUGGAGUCAACGCCGGG
rnacentral:rRNA from 1 species